rnacentral:lncRNA from 1 species
UGGUGUAGGCGUGUCCAGCGUGGCGAUGUCCUCAUCAUCCUCUUCUUCUUGAAUUGGAGUCAUCCUCGACUCCAUCUUGUUGAUGUCCUCAUCAUCCCCUCCUUCUAGAAUUGGAGUCGUCCUCGACUCUUCCCCAUCAACAAACUCCUUCAAAAGAUUAGUGACAGUAGGCAAUGCACAAGACAUAAUAGGUUGACAAAAUAUAGUAUAACAUGGUACAUCUGAAUUAUCACAUAACUCAGCAGUAGCAUAAGUUGUAGCAAGUAAAGCACCUCCCAUUAUUUUUAGCGAUGUCUAUUGGAGGUUUUUUGUUAAUCUCUUUAGCAUGUUUAAAAAUAUCCAUAGGUGACAAAGGUAGCAAAGUAAUUUUCUUGUCCUUAUGCAUGAAAGUGUAUGUAUUAGUUCUACACUACUACAUAAUUUCUUUUCUGAGGCG